rnacentral:hammerhead_ribozyme from 1 species
AUCCAGCUGAUGAGUCCCAAAUAUGACGAAACGUGCAUCAGACUGGAU